CAUAUUAGCGACAGUUCUCUUACGUGUUGCUGAUAGCCGGCUAGCUAGCUAGCGCCGCUAGCACCGCUAGCGUAUGACGACACUACGCAAUGACGACACUAUCAACGGCGCGCGUCUCUUCGCCCCUCCUCCGCUUUGAAAUUGACCGUAGACGUGAUUUUCUAAGACAACGUGGCUAUCGUUUAACCGGUAACGCGUCUUUCCCCCCUCCUCCGCUUUGGACUUGAACUUAGAGUGAUUUUCUGAAGUGUUUACUAAGACACAUCGUAAGCUUUUACAAGGUAAGUGUAUCUCUCUGUCUCUGGUUUGAAAUUUAGCUUUGAAAGUGAUUUUUUUAUGUGUUUCUUUAUCGAUUUCUUUGUUUCGGCACGUUCGGCACGAUGCUAAAGCCAGUUAGCGGAUAGUCAGCUAAGUCAAGCGUUUCCGUCCCUCCUCCGGUUUUGAAAUUGACCUUUAAAAGUCCUUUUCUGUGUCUUGACGCUGAUAUCUACAAAAUGACUGCGAUUUUAUUCCAGUGGUAUCGUUUGUAAUUGAAACUUUUAAGAUGCGACUCUCAAAAAAUAGCUUCACUGUAGUCGGGUUUCACACCUCUCUUUGUCUCGUGGUAUUUUGUUGUUGGCUAGUUAGCGGAUAUUAAGCGUCUCCCGGUUUGAAAUUGAUUUUGAAAGUGAUUUACUAUGACAAGGCGUUAACUACAGCAGCCUUUAAUACCUCAACUCUUGAUUCAGCCAAGGUAAGUGCCCCCCCUUAUAUUUUCUAUGUAUGUGUUCAGCUGAUAUUUAGAAAAAAAUAGGUGUGUUUAGGAUGUCAUUUUAUUCCAGAGCUGUUGUUUGUAAUUAAAACUUUUAAGAUUAGAUGGUACAGUGUUUUUACUCCCUUCCAAACAGUAAAGUUCCUCUCUCAGUAGGAAAUUUAAACCAGACAGUACAAGGCUACAUUUCAGUGUUACAAGCCAAUCAGUUUGCUAAUUGUUCUGUGAGAUUUGUUUGCAAAGUUUAAGGUGUUAAGUAGGACUGUGAACAUCUGGGUCUGCUUGCUGCUGGCAUUCUGCCAGAGCCCCAGCAACAAGACCGCCUCCCAGCAACGAGACUGCCUGUCAGCCUUGCAAGCGUCUCAGCAACAACACUGCCUCCCAGCUUUGCAAGGUAAUUACUUUCCCAAUUACUGUACACCAAAACGAAGUAACUGUCGUGGUCAACAAAUCUGCCUCCCAACUUUCAAGAUGCCGAGAAAAAAUAAAAGAUCCCAGGCACAAAAGAAGCGCUGGAAACCACUUGACCUGGUCGAUCCUGCUGUCCCAAUGCUCACUGGCCACAACCAAGAUGAGGCAGUCAGUAGUUUUCCAUCUGACCAGCAGACGGCACCAGCCGGGUUAUCUUUGGAAACACAGGAUAGACCCACCUCCUUAUGUUCCCCAGGUACCAAGCAGACAGCACCAGCCAGCUUGUCCUUGGAAACGCAGAAUAGACCCACCUCCUUAUGUCCUCCAGGCAGCAAGGUAAAUUUAAAACGGUAUUCCUCCAUUAAGGAUUUAUAGUGGACAGUUACAUUACCAUUAAAUGUUAAAGACAUAUGGUUACAUGUUUGCCUUAUGUAAACAGUAAGAAUUUUGUUGUCUCGCUUCUGUUAGUUU